UACAGAGGUCUCAAGCGUUGUUCGGAUUCAUUGGGCGUAAAGGGUGCGUAGGCGGCGCGGUAAGUCGGGUGUGAAAUCUCAGAGCUCAACUCUGAAACUGCAUUCGAUACUGCCGUGCUUGAGGACUGGAGAGGAGACUGGAAUUUACGGUGUAGCGGUGAAAUGCGUAGAUAUCGUAAGGAAGACCAGUGGCGAAGGCGGGUCUCUGGACGACACCUGACACUGAGGCACGAAAGCUAGGGGAGCAAACAGG
rnacentral:rRNA from 1 species